UACGGAGGGAGCUAGCGUUGUUCGGAAUUACUGGGCGUAAAGCGCACGUAGGCGGUUCGUUAAGUCGGAUGUGAAAGCCCUCGGCUCAACUGAGGAAGUGCACCCGAAACUGGCGAGCUUGAGUACGAAAGAGGAUCGCGGAAUUCCCGGUGUAGGGGUGAAAUUCGUAGAUAUCGGGAGGAACACCGGUGGCGAAGGCGGCGAUCUGGGUCGAUACUGACGCUGAGGUGCGAAAGCGUGGGGAGCAAACAGG
rnacentral:rRNA from 1 species